AGAGUUUGAUCCUGGCUCAGGAUGAACGCUGGCGGCAUGCCUAAUACAUGCAAGUCGAACGAGGGUCCUUCGGGACUCGAGUGGCGAACGGGUGAGUAACACGUAGGGAACCUGCCCGUGCGACCGGGAGAACUUUCGGAAACGGAAGCUGAUACCGGAUAGGGACAGAGACGGCAUCGACUCUGUGUUAAAGGAGCUGAAAGGCUCCGCGCACGGAUGGACCUGCGGUGCAUUAGCUGGUUGGUGAGGUAACGGCCCACCAAGGCGACGAUGCAUAGCCGGCCUGAGAGGGCGGACGGCCACACUGGGACUGAGACACGGCCCAGACUCCUACGGGAGGCAGCAAUAGGGAAUUUUCGUCAAUGGGCGCAAGCCUGAACGAGCAAUGCCGCGUGAACGAGGAAGGUCUUCGGAUCGUAAAGUUCUGUUGAAGGGGAAAAAGAGCGGAGAGAGGAAAUGAACUCCGAUUGAUAUUACCCUUCGAGGAAGUCACGGCUAACUACGUGCCAGCAGCCGCGGUAAUACGUAGGUGGCGAGCGUUAUCCGGAAUGAUUGGGCGUAAAGGGUGCGUAGGCGGCCUGCUAAGUCUGGAGUGAAAGGUACCGGCUCAACCGGUAUAGGCUUUGGAAACUGGCGGGCUAGAGAGCAGGAGAGGGCGGUGGAACUCCAUGUGUAGCGGUAAAAUGCGUAGAUAUAUGGAAGAACACCAGUGGCGAAGGGCGGCCGCCUGGCCUGUUACUGACGCUGAGGCACGAAAGCGUGGGGAGCAAAUAGGAUUAGAUACCCUAGUAGUCCACGCCGUAAACGAUGAGGACCAAGUGUUGGGGAAGACCCAGUGCUGCAGUUAACGCAGUGAGUCCUCCGCCUGGGGAGUAUGCACGCAAGUGUGAAACUCAAAGGAAUUGACGGGGGCCCGCACAAGCGGUGGAGUAUGUGGUUUAAUUCGAAGCAACGCGAAGAACCUUACCAGGCCUUGACAUAGGGUGCGAAGCUAUGGAGACAUAGUGGAGGUAAACAUCCAUACAGGUGGUGCAUGGUUGUCGUCAGCUCGUGUCGUGAGAUGUUGGGUUAAGUCCCGCAACGAGCGCAACCCUUAUCUUUAGUAGCCAGCAGGUAAAGCUGGGCACUCUAGAGAGACUGCCGGGGAUAACCCGGAGGAAGGUGGGGAUGACGUCAAAUCAUCAUGCCCCUUAUGAUUUGGGCUACACACGUGCUACAAUGGCGUAAACAGAGGGAAGCGAGCCCGCGAGGGGGAGCAAAUCCCAAAAAUAACGUCCCAGUUCGGAUUGUAGUCUGCAACCCGACUACAUGAAGCUGGAAUCGCUAGUAAUCGCGGAUCAGAAUGCCGCGGUGAAUACGUUCCCGGGUCUUGCACUCACCGCCCGUCAA
rnacentral:rRNA from 1 species